AGACCCGAAACCCGGUGAUCUAGCCAUGGGCAGGUUGAAGGUUGGGUAACACUAACUGGAGGACCGAACCGACUAAUGUUGAAAAAUUAGCGGAUGACCUGUGGCUGGGGGUGAAAGGCCAAUCAAACCGGGAGAUAGCUGGUUCUCCCCGAAAGCUAUUUAGGUAGCGCCUCGUGAAUUCAUCUCCGGGGGUAGAGCACUGUUUCGGCUAGGGGGCCAUCCCGGCUUACCAACCCGAUGCAAACUGCGAAUACCGGAGAAUGUUAUCACGGGAGACACACGGCGGGUGCUAACGUCCGUCGUGAAGAGGGAAACAACCCAGACCGCCAGCUAAGGUCCCAAAGUCAUGGUUAAGUGGGAAACGAUGUGGGAAGGCCCAGACAGCCAGGAUGUUGGCUUAGAAGCAGCCAUCAUUUAAAGAAAGCGUAAUAGCUCACUGGUCGAGUCGGCCUGCGCGGAAGAUGUAACGGGGCUAAACCAUGCACCGAAGCUGCGGCAGCGAACGUAUCACUUAAAGCGAUUCAGCGGGUUACGAUUGACGGAGCGAAGCGACGUCAAAGCGUAUACAAAGUCGAGUCGGUUUAAGGAUACGUUCG
rnacentral:rRNA from 1 species